GGUGUGGGGAUGUUUGUGCAGUCUUAGAUUUGUGUAAUUCCUUGUUUCCCAGGAUCUGUACAACCAUCCGAGGAAAGGUCAUAAAGAACAGGUCCAAUAGGAGCAUCCGUGUCUGUGAGAAGGGAUCAGAACAUCUGGAGAUCACCUCUCUGGAGCUGUCCUAGAUCUAGUUUUUUUGUGGAGCAGAAGAAGCAAGAAAUUGUGAUUACAUUUGGAUUAUAUACCGUCAACUGCUUGAUGGAAGCUCUCAGAGGACAGUUACGUUAGGCUUGGUCUCCAAGCAUAACAAAGUAGACCUGAUUUGGAAAAGAAAGUGCUUAGAGGAGCAGAGACCUGAAGGGCCAGGGUGCAGGAUACCCAGCAGUGUCCCCACCAUCAGAAGAAAA
rnacentral:sRNA from 1 species